rnacentral:rRNA from 1 species
UACGGGGGGGGGCAAGCGUUGUUCGGAAUUACUGGGCGUAAAGGGCUCGUAGGCGGCCAACUAAGUCAGACGUGAAAUCCCCAGGCUCAACCUGGGAACUGCGUCUGAUACUGGAUGGCUUGAAUCCGGGAGAGGGAUGCAGAAUUCCAGGUGUAGCGGUGAAAUGCGUAGAUAUCGGGAGGAAUACCGAUGGCGAAGGCAGGUCUCUGGGCUGACACUGACGCUCAUGCACGAAAGCGUGGGGAGCAAACAGG